rnacentral:tRNA from 1 species
GGUCCAUUCGUCUAGUGGUUAGGACGUCAGGUUUUCAUCCUGUUAACAGGGGUUCGAUUCCCCUAUGGACUA